rnacentral:rRNA from 1 species
UACGAAGGGGGCUAGCGUUGUUCGGAAUCACUGGGCGUAAAGCGCACGUAGGCGGCUUGUUAAGUCAGGGGUGAAAUCCUGGAGCUCAACUCCAGAACUGCCUUUGAUACUGGCGAGCUUGAGUUCGGGAGAGGUGAGUGGAACUGCGAGUGUAGAGGUGAAAUUCGUAGAUAUUCGCAAGAACACCAGUGGCGAAGGCGGCUCACUGGCCCGAUACUGACGCUGAGGUGCGAAAGCGUGGGGAGCAACAGG